rnacentral:rRNA from 1 species
UACGUAGGGACCGAGCGUUGUCCGGAAUCAUUGGGCGUAAAGAGCGUGUAGGCGGCCUGGAAGGUCAGCUGUGAAAACUCGAGGCUCAACCUCGAGACGUCGGUUGAAACCACCUGGCUAGAGUCCGGAAGAGGAGAGUGGAAUUCCCGGUGUAGCGGUGAAAUGCGCAGAUAUCGGGAAGAACACCCGUGGCGAAGGCGGCUCUCUGGGACGGUACUGACGCUGAGACGCGAAAGCGUGGGGAGCGAACAGG